UUCUGCCUACGGGGCGCAGCAGUGGGGGAUAUUGCACAAUGGGGGAAACCCUGAUGCAGCGACGCCGCGUGGGCGAAGAAGUAUUUCGGUAUGUAAAGCCCUAUCAGCAGGGAAGAAGAAAUGACGGUACCUGGGUAAGAAGCACCGGCUAAAUACGUGCCAGCAGCCGCGGUAAUACGUAUGGUGCAAGCGUUAUCCGGAUUUACUGGGUGUAGAGGGAGCGCAGGCGGCACGGCAAGUCUGAUGUGAAAGCCCGCGGCCCAACCGCGGGACUGCAUUGGGAACUACCGGGCUGGAGUGCCGGG
rnacentral:rRNA from 1 species